rnacentral:ncRNA from 1 species
AAACAGGGGUGCUUGCGGACGCAGGCUGAGAUUGAAAACAUUCCUUUUCUGACCCUAUAAACCUGAUGCGGGUAAUGCCGCCGUAGGAAGAAA